UAGCAUCCUGGCUCAAGCGGACCGAAGGGAGCUUGCUCCCGGAUGUUAGCGGCGGACGGGUGAGUAACACGUGGGUAACCUGCCUGUAAGACUGGGAUAACUCCGGGAAACCGGAGCUAAUACCGGAUAGUUCCUUGAACCGCAUGGUUCAAGGAUGAAAGACGGUUUCGGCUGUCACUUACAGAUGGACCCGCGGCGCAUUAGCUAGUUGGUGGGGUAAUGGCUCACCAAGGCGACGAUGCGUAGCCGACCUGAGAGGGUGAUCGGCCACACUGGGACUGAGACACGGCCCAGACUCCUACGGGAGGCAGCAGUAGGGAAUCUUCCGCAAUGGACGAAAGUCUGACGGAGCAACGCCGCGUGAGUGAUGAAGGUUUUCGGAUCGUAAAGCUCUGUUGUUAGGGAAGAACAAGUGCGAGAGUAACUGCUCGCACCUUGACGGUACCUAACCAGAAAGCCACGGCUAACUACGUGCCAGCAGCCGCGGUAAUACGUAGGUGGCAAGCGUUGUCCGGAAUUAUUGGGCGUAAAGGGCUCGCAGGCGGUUUCUUAAGUCUGAUGUGAAAGCCCCCGGCUCAACCGGGGAGGGUCAUUGGAAACUGGGAAACUUGAGUGCAGAAGAGGAGAGUGGAAUUCCACGUGUAGCGGUGAAAUGCGUAGAGAUGUGGAGGAACACCAGUGGCGAAAGCGACUCUCUGGUCUGUAACUGACGCUGAGGAGCGAAAGCGUGGGGAGCGAACAGGAUUAGAUACCCUGGUAGUCCACGCCGUAACGAUGAGUGCUAAGUGUUAGGGGGUUUCCGCCCCUUAGUGCUGCAGCUAACGCAUAAGCACUCCGCCUGGGGGAGUACGGUCGCAGGACUGAGACUCAAGGAAUUGACGGGGCCCGCACAGCGG
rnacentral:rRNA from 1 species